rnacentral:rRNA from 1 species
GACGAACGCUGGCGGCGUGCUUAACACAUGCAAGUCGAGCGGUAAGGCCCUUUCGGGGUACGACGAGCGGCGAACGGGUGAGUAACACGUGGGUGACCUGCCCUCAGCUCUGGGAUAAGCCUGGGAAACCGGGUCUAAUACCGGAUAUGACUCCAUGACGCAUGUUGUGGGGUGGAAAGCCUUGUGCGGCUGAGGAUGGGCCCGCGGCCUAUCAGCUUGUUGGUGGGGUGAUGGCCUACCAAGGCGACGACGGGUAGCCGGCCUGAGAGGGCGACCGGCCACACUGGGGACUGAGACACGGCCCAGACUCCUACGGGAGGCAGCAGGUGGGGAAUCUUGCGCAAUGGGCGAAAGCCUGACGCAGCGACGCCGCGUGAGGGAUGA